GCAGGAUACGGGUAGCUCAGAGCAGUUUUCACCUAUUUUCAACCACAUCUCAUAAAGACAUAAAAAUGGACUCCUGGAACUGGUUAAGUGCUUGAAAUCACCCCUUGUACUUCUCUCUCCAGGAAACAGGGCUUUAUCCUCAGAGUCUCUCGGAGGCUGCGCUGUGCUCAGUGACUCACCUGGAAGCACAGAGGUGGGAAAGGGAACCCUGCAGCUUCACAGUGGAGGGACAUAGCCAGCACCAGAUUAGCCAGUGAUUGAGGUUAACAUCAUCAGUGGAGUCAUGAAGAAGUGGGGAGGGCUCCACCUUUGGGGUACUCUCUUCCAAAACCCAGACCCCCAUCUGACAGCAAGAGAAGCCAAGACACCGUUCAGGGCAUCUGGCCAGCUUGAGGCUGCAAGCGUCAUGAAAAGCAAGGGAAGACCAAGAAACCCACAGGCGAUGGGGUGCAGUGUGGCACCCUCAGUGGGUCCUGGGACAAAGGCAGGCAUGGACGCAGACCAUGGUGAAAUUCAAACCAGGUCUAAUUAACAAGGGGACACCCAAGAUCCAUUAUGGAGUUUUUACAAUGUGCUAUGAAAAUACAAAACAGUAAUGAAGGGGAAAGCAAGUUGGGGGUAUAUGGGAACUCUAUACUGUGGACAACAUUUCUGUGCAUUUAAAAUUACCUCAGAAUAAGGUUUUCCUAAUUAAAUGUAAGCAAAUUAGAGGUUA